CCUACGGGAGGCUGCAGUGAGGAAUAUUGGUCAAUGGCCGGAAGGCUGAACCAGCCAUGCCGCGUGAAGGUCAGUGCCCUAUGGGCGUUAAACUUCUUUUGUGCGGGAGCAAUAAUGGUCACGUGUGGCCAGACGAGAGUACCGUACGAAUAAGCAUCGGCUCACUCCGUGCCAGCAGCCGCGGUAAUACGGGGGAUGCCAGCGUUAUCCGGAUUUAUUGGGGUUAAAGGGUGCGUAGGCUGUGAGGUAAGUCAGCGGUGGAAUGCCCCCGCUCAACGGGGUGGAGUGCCAUUGAUACUGGCUUGCUGGGAUGGGGAUGGCGUGGGAGGGAUG
rnacentral:rRNA from 1 species